rfam:Prunus persica cultivar Lovell chromosome G5, whole genome shotgun sequence.
AAGGUAAGAGCCAGUCAGACUAGCCUAAAGACAACUUGCCUAGCUAGAAACCCAGAAACCAUACAGCUCCAAGCUUGAACAUAUCUUUAAUUAUAUCGAACUUAAAUGAUCAGCAUUUCUUUGAUUAGGCAAGUCAUCCUUGGCUACCAAACAUGGCUCUUUACC